rnacentral:lncRNA from 1 species
GUUUUUCUUCAUUUUCCAUUAUUUCUUCUUUUUGUUCUAAACAAUUUUGAAUUGCUGUUAACUUUCCUAGUAUUUGUUUAAAGGUAGGUACUUCGGAUACAUUCCAUAAAGCUGUUAUUUCCUCUCUAAUAAUCUGUCUACUUUUUUCUUGGUUUUCCUCUAUUUUUGUUAAUAUUGUUUUCAAUCCUUCUUUUACUAAUAUUUCAUUCCAAAUAUCUUUUAUUCUUUCCUCUGAGUUACUCAUUUUUAUAUAUUCGCUUACUCCAUUCUCCUUCCACAAUCCAAAU